rnacentral:lncRNA from 1 species
AUUUUUUAAAUAGAAGAUUGAUAGCUCUCAUCAGGAAAGAUUAAUGUAGUUAAGCCAUUUGGUCAUAAAACCUUAGAGUGGAAAAUACCUUAAAGUGCUAUCCCACCCAGCUUCUUUUUACCAGUGAGUGCCCUCACAAAAGCCUUGUGGAUGAUCAUUUUAUCCUUGCUUGAAUAAUUCCAGAGAUUGAGAAUUCACUGGAUUUUUCGACAGCCCAUUUUAUUUUUGGACAGCUUUAACUGUUGGUAAGUCUUUCGUCUUAUAUCAAAAUAUCCCUUCUCAUGAUGUGUCUCCACUACUCUUUGCCUGGCCUCUGGAGCAAUGCCCAAGAAAUCUAAUCUUCCUCCACCUGACAGCACUUUGGACAGAGGGAAGUCCCAUUUUAUGUGACAAAAGCAUUCCUAAGACCCUCACAUAUUCAAAACUCAUGGAAAAUGAGACUAAUUCCGAUAAAAAUGGUAGUCAGUCUUGUUUACUGGCUAAUGUGGUGCUUCCGUGUAUCAAUAAGGUGAGUACAAUUCACUGGCCUACUAGAUUUUAACCUAUAUAAUUCUUGAUUAAUUUUUAACUGUGGAGAGUUGCCUUUAGAGAAUCAGGAGAAUCAUUUCAAACUCACUUAAAGAGGAAAGCCCUGUAUAUGAAGAUAACUGUUAAAUCAUCACAGCUUCUCUUCCCGAAAAACAAACCACUUAGUGUAUAAGAACAGUAACAGGCAUCAUAUUAGUCUACCAAAAAGUCCAUGGCACCUCCAUUUCUAGAGGUCUGUAAGAACAAGAAAAAUAGCUCUUUGGAGAGAUUCUUUGAUUUGCAUAUCCAGAAGCUAAGAAGUAGACCAGGUGACCCACUGAGAUUACCUAGCAUUGAUGGCAUUCUGACUCCUGCUCUCUGAGCUGAGGUUUCUUAGAUGUGACCGCACUUAACUGUUUCCAGUGGUAGAUAUAAGACACACCUAACAACAUACAGAUUUAAAAUAUGUAUGGUGGGCUUAGCAUGGUGGCUCAUGCCUGUAAUCCCAGCACUUU